GCAAACUUGGUCAUUUAGAGGAAGUAAAAGUCGUAACAAGGUUUCCGUAGGUGAACCUGCGGAAGGAUCAUUAUUGUAGGGGCUUCGGCCCCUUGCAUGAUGCAAACCCUUGCUCUUUUUUAGUAGUAUCCCGUUUCCUCGGCAGCAUUGCUGAAUUCCACAGCCGUGCCUGUCAGAGGACCCCCCCAAAAAACCCUUUGCAAUCUCUACAAUUUUCAGAAACAAUUCAAUUUUUUACAACUUUCAACAAUGGAUCUCUUGGCUCUGGCAUCGAUGAAGAACGCAGC
rnacentral:misc_RNA from 1 species